GGGAACAAUCCUUGAAGCUCAGGAGGGAUAGCGCCUAGGUUUAUUGCAACCAACAAGAGGCCGGCUCCCUGCUGGCUCUUGAUGGUUCAUCGAUCUGUUCGUCCGAAGCGCUAUCUAUCCUGAGCUCCACGGGUUGUUCUU
rnacentral:pre_miRNA from 2 species